GCCUGUUGAGCGCGCGCCUUCCAACGGUCAUCAGAAAAGCCCCAACGCCCUCCAGCAAAGCAGGAGUCAAGCCAAGUUUCUUGGAUGUCAGGUCCCAGCUUCGCUUCACACAACGACUGGUAGCUUUUGGUCCUGCUUUCUGACCUGCUUGAGUUCCAGUCCUGGCUUCCUUUGGUGAUGAACAGCAGUAUGGAAAUGCACGCACACACACUAGACUGGCCUAGGAGUAUGGCGACUGGUGCUUACUCUCUGUGAUCCUGUACCUGCAAUGAACUUCACUGCUCAGCAUCCGUCACCCUCCCUGGAGCCUGCUCACAGUUGUUUCUUCAGCUCUAUCACAGUGUCAAAAACACCUCCUUCCAAUGAAUAUUCGGAAUGAUGUUUUCAUUUAUUAGGUUGAAGCAGUUGGUGUGCUUUAGAAAAUGAUUAUAGAGCAUUGGGUCUGGCAGCUCUGUAGAAAAACACGGAAGCAGCUGAAAGUGUUCCUCCCUCUGCUUGUAUGCUUCUGGAAGCCAUCAGAGGCCAUCCGUCAAACCAACCUGGCCUGUCUUCUGUUCUGUCACACAGGGCUGGAGCAUGUGGGCAGAAUUAAGGUGCCAGGUGAGAGGAAAAUAAGUACUGGUAUACAAAGACAAAAGGACUUCCAUCCUGUUUAUUCCAUUAAGUCUUGACAUUUAUUUUUUAGACAUAUGCCAUGUUUAGGUUAUAGAAAAGAAAAGAAAAUGUUCCUUGAAGCCCCGGUCCCAGCAGAGGCUGGGCAGACCUAUUGCCAUUUUACCUCCUGCUAGCCCUUGAAGUGGAAGAUGCAAUCUUGGGUUUGAGCUGAGCUGCCUGACACGUGUCAACCUCUAGAAAAUUCGCAGGUGUAUCACACAGCAGCUUUCAACAUGCUGUGAAAAGAAGUCUCCGGCAUGUUCCAAGUCUGCCUGGAAAUCAAAGCCCUCUUUGCCCCCCCCCCCCCCCCCCCAUCUUAGACUGAAAGGUAUGGAGCCCUCUAGGCAUGCCCAGCAGCUCACAACGUUGACCAGAGCUGCCCAACCCUAGACUACCAGGACUGUGAUAAGUCGGCCUAUUACUGUGAACCACUGACUGGUCGAGAGUUUUGUCAUUGUGGCCGCCAGAAUUCUUUUGUAGUUACGAUCUAUUAGUGUACAGAUUGUUCCACUGGCACUCCUGUCACUAGGAAUGGACUUGGCUCCACCGACCUCACUCUCCAUUUGUCCUAGAAAAUCAGACCCAUAUUUCAUGACAUUUUAGUUGCCAGUUCUGAAUACCUGGGAGGCAUUUUCAGAUAUACAUGGGAUUUAAGGAGGCCCAUGAGGAAACAAAGAUACACAUCCUUAGUGUGAGGAGAAGGAACUAGGAUCAUUUAGGUUCACCUUAAGAAAAUGACAGGCAUACACUUGCACCCAGGUCACCUGGGUCAUUCAGGCUAGCAGGCAUGCUCAUCUGGGUUUACGCAGAGAAGUAGGGACACUGUACCUUUCAGAAUGGUGACACACAGAAUUGGGACAUAAGUAAGUCAUGGUUUGUAACAACCAGCUAUGAGGAUUAACAACAGUAACCAAGGCUAGCAAAGUUUUAACCUAGGAUAAAUGUACCUGUAGCUAUACAAACAGAUGCACCUGGAGAUGUUGUCUGUCUUCCACUGCCAGUGGGAGUGUAAAUUGAUUUGGACCCUUAGAAACCUUGAAAGUCAGUGGAAGUUACUUUGUAGAGCAAAAACCCUCAUCAGUAAUGUGCACAGGCUCACAUCAGAAAAGCUGAUGGCCUGCUGCUGGGUAUGUUCAACAUAUCAAAAGUCUUAGCAGGACCAGUGCCACGCCUGUGAGGAGCAAGCUACUUUUAGAAAGAUCAGCUAUACUAUAUGUCCUGAAAUUGAAUGGCAAUCUCAUCCAAAAAGGAAUUUCUCUAUACCUUCCUUGACUUUAAAAGGUCAAGCAGAGGGGCUGGAGAGCUCGAAGGGCUGCUGGUUGAGAUGUAAGAACACAGGGUGUUCUUGUAGAGGAGCCAGGUUCAGUUCCCAACACCCACAUGUUGGCUCAAACCCAACCAUAACACCAGUUCCAGGAAUCUGAUGCCCUCUUUUGACCUCUGCAGUCAACAAGCACACACAUGUUUAGCAGACAUACAUGCAGGCAAAACAUCCAUACACAUAAAUAAAAUAAAAAUUAAACAGGUAGCAGAGCAUUAACUAGGUGGCAGUCCUAUCUGUAGUCACCUAAGAGUAUAGCAUAGCUGUGGUUGACAUAGAUACUAAGUAUUUUUGCUAGCUCAUCUCAGAUGCUAUAUCUUUUCAGAGAUUCAGCUACUGGAAAAGAGAAGAUUAGAUUUGUUUUCUGACAACUUUGUUGAGAAUCUCCCUGGGAUUGGAGAGAUGGCUCAGCAGUUCAAAGCAUUGACUGCUCUUCCAGAGGAUGUGAGUUCACUCCCUAGCACCCACAUGAGAUUCACAACUGUCUGUGACUCUAGUUCCAAGGGUUUCUAUGCCCUCAUCAUCCUCCAGGCAUUCACAUGGUACAUAAACAUACAUGAAGGAAAACCACCCAUACACAUAAAUAAUAAGAGUGUUCACCUGUCCUCAUCACAAAUGGCACACCCUGACAGUUUCUGACUUACCCAAUAUCACACAUGUCUACCAGCCUGCAUUCACAAGCAAGUUCCUUCUGUUUUUUAAGUGACACAUUUGUGGUCACUGACACCAUGAAAUAACUACUAAAAUGAGAUUUCUUAUACUCCUAUCUCACAUCACAGUAAGGACAGCACAGUAAUGUCUUAAAUGUAUACAAAAAGUAAUUAUUGAUGAAUUCAAGAUAAUAAAUGAUGUGACACGAUAUGAUUGUUAUGAGGAUGAAAUAGAAUAAGACAGAAAAGGCCAAUUAUUAGAUACUGAGCUAUCGAUGUAUUCAAUGAUUUACUUAAAGCACUGUUGGCGCGGCCUGUCUGCCAAGCAUGACUUCACUGCUACCUGGAACAGAAUGACCUGGAGAAAUAGCUGAGACAAUGAGCUGUUCCCUUAACAACCUGCUGACUGACAUCUGUGCUCUGUAAAAUCUUGCCUGCUUGCCCGCCCCACCUUGUGGUUUUAGAAUAAGAAAUGAGAGUGCAAAAUGGACCCAACAUUGAUGCCUUUCACGAACUGUCCUGGCUUUGAUCCACUGGUGGCAUCUCCUCUCUUCCACUCUCGUUGUGGGAGUACUUAUUCCAGAAAGAUUCCCUCAAAAAUAUAGCAGCUGACAGUACUCCCAAGAUAAAAUCCAAAGACAGC
rnacentral:lncRNA from 1 species